CUUGGAGACCGACGGUUUUUCUGUAACAGUAAGUUGUUUCUCCACCAUUAGCACAUUUAGUAGCAAGUACAUGAGAUUGAUCGACAACACUAAGACCCUCAUCCUGGCUCUGAUUGGCUGUUUCUGCAGAAC